rnacentral:rRNA from 1 species
GGCCCUUCGGGGUACUCGAGCGGCGAACGGGUGAGUAACACGUGAGUAAUCUGCCCCAGGCUCUGGGAUAGCCACCGGAAACGGUGAUUAAUACCGGAUACGACAACCGAUUGCAUGAUCUGGUUGUGGAAAGUUUUUCGGCCUGGGAUGUGCUCGCGGCCUAUCAGCUUGUUGGUGAGGUAAUGGCUCACCAAGGCUUCGACGGGUAGCCGGCCUGAGAGGGUGACCGGCCACACUGGGACUGAGACACGGCCCAGACUCCUACGGGAGGCAGCAGUGGGGAAUAUUGGACAAUGGGCGGAAGCCUGAUCCAGCAACGCCGCGUGAGGGAUGACGGCCUUCGGGUUGUAAACCUCUUUCAGCACAGACGAAGCGCAAGUGACGGUAUGUGCAGAAGAAGGACCGGCCAACUACGUGCCAGCAGCCGCGGUAAUACGUAGGGUCCGAGCGUUGUCCGGAAUUAUUGGGCGUAAAGGGCUCGUAGGCGGUCUGUCGCGUCGGGAGUGAAAACCAGGUGCUUAACACCUGGCCUGCUUUCGAUACGGGCAGACUAGAGGUACUCAGGGGAGAAUGGAAUUCCUGGUGUAGCGGUGAAAUGCGCAGAUAUCAGGAGGAACACCGGUGGCGAAGGCGGUUCUCUGGGAGUAUCCUGACGCUGAGGAGCGAAAGUGUGGGGAGCGAACAGGAUUAGAUACCCUGGUAGUCCACACCGUAAACGUUGGGCGCUAGGUGUGGGACAC